AUUGAACGCUGGCGGAAUGCUUUACACAUGCAAGUCGAACGGCAGCACGGACUUCGGUCUGGUGGCGAGUGGCGAACGGGUGAGUAAUGUAUCGGAACGUACCCAGUCGUGGGGGAUAACGUAGUGAAAAUUACGCUAAUACCGCAUACGAUCUAUGGAUGAAAGCGGGGGAUCGCAAGACCUAGCGCGAUUGGAGCGGUCGAUAUCGGAUUAGGUAGUUGGUGGGGUGAAGGCCCAUCAAGCCAACGAUCUGUAGCUGGUCUGUGAGGACGACCAGCCACACUGGAACUGAGGCACGGUCCAGACUCCUACGGGAGGCAGCAGUGGGGAAUUUUGGACAAUGGGCGAAAGCCUGAUCCAGCCAUUCCGCGUGCAGGAUGAAGGCCCUCGGGUUGUAAACUGCUUUUGUACAGAACGAAAAGGUUUCUACUAAUACUAGGAGCUCAUGACGGUACUGUAAGAAUAAGCACCGGCUAACUACGUGCCAGCAGCCGCGGUAA
rnacentral:rRNA from 1 species